rnacentral:rRNA from 1 species
UCAGGAUAAACGCUGGCGGUACGUCUAAUACAUGCAAGUCGAACGAGAACUUUCGGGUUUUAGUGGCGAACGGGUGAGUAACACGUAGGUAACCUGCCUUUAAGACGAGGAUAACAGUUGGAAACGAUUGCUAAUACUGGAUAUAAAGUAACGGGGGCAUCCCCGAAACUUAAAAGGUCCUAAGGGACUACUUAAAGAGGGGCCUGCGGUGCAUUAGUUAGUUGGUAGGGUAAAGGCCUACCAAGGCAAUGAUCAGUAGCCGGCCUGAGAGGGUGAUCGGCCACAUUGGGACUGAGACACGGCCCAAACUCCUACGGGAGGCAGCAGUGGGGAAUAUUGCACAAUGGAGGGAACUCUGAUGCAGCGACGCCGCGUGAGCGAAGAAGGAAUUCGUUUCGUAAGGCUCUGUCCUAUGGGAAGAUAAUGACGGUACCAUAGAAGAAAGCCCCGGCUAACUACGUGCCAGCAGCCGCGGUAAUACGUAGGGGGCGAGCGUUGUCCGGAAUUAUUGGGCGUAAAGGGUUCGUAGGCGGUAAUACAUGUCAGAUGUGAAAUCUUGUGGCUUAACCACAUCAAGCAUCUGAAACUGUAUAACUUGAGUGGAGGAGAGGUAAGUGGAAUUCCUAGUGUAGCGGUGAAAUGCGUAGAUAUUAGGAAGAAUACCAGUAGCGAAGGCGACUUACUGGCCUCUAACUGACGCUGAUGAACGAAAGCGUGGGUAGCAAACAGGAUUAGAUACCCUGGUAGUCCACGCCGUAAACGAUGAGUGCUAGGUGUCGGGAGUCAAAUCUCGGUGCCGUAGUAACGCAAUAAGCACUCCG